CCAGGUGGGAUUAGCUAGUUGGUGAGGUAAUGGCUCACCAAGGCGACGAUCCCUAGCUGGUCUGAGAGGAUGAUCAGCCACACUGGAACUGAGACACGGUCCAGACUCCUACGGGAGGCAGCANUGGGGAAUAUUGCACAAUGGGCGCAAGCCUGAUGCAGCCAUGCCGCGUGUAUGAAGAAGGCCUUCGGGUUGUAAAGUACUUUCAGUCGUGAGGAAGGCGUUGAAGUUAAUANCUUCAUCGUUUGACGUUAGCGACAGAAGAAGCACCGGCUAACUCCGUGCCAGCAGCCGCGGUAAUACGGAGGGUGCGAGCGUUAAUCGGAAUUACUGGGCGUAAAGCGCAUGCAGGUGGUUUGUUAAGUCAGAUGUGAAAGCCCGGGGCUCAACCUCGGAACCGCAUUUGAAACUGGCAGGCUAGAGUACUGUAGAGGGGGGUAGAAUUUCAGGUGUAGCGGUGAAAUGCGUANAGAUCUGAAGGAAUACCAGUGNNGAAGGCGGCCCCCUGNACAGAUACUGACACUCANAUGCGAAAGCGUGGGGAGCAAACAGGANUANAUACCCU
rnacentral:rRNA from 1 species